rnacentral:lncRNA from 1 species
AUUGGUUCACACUUUUGAUUGAAAAUAUUCCGAAACAUUAACCACCCAUCAGCGUGUUCAUCCAUUCACCCUCAUUUCAUUAUCUACCUAAAGGUAUCACCUUUCCCAUUUCUUUGUUUGUUCUUUUGUCUGUUCCUAUAUUUUGUUUUGUUCCUAAUAUCAAGAUUUGUUCUUCUGAAGUUUUGAACUGUCCUCCGUUCGAGCAACCCGCGAGACUAACCUUUGCUAUUAUAGAGAAGAAUUUUUAGGUAAGGGCGGUAUUCUGUACAAUUAUGAGCAUGUUUGGUCCUCCUUAUUUUCCACUUCUCUUCUAGUUUUAAGGAGAAGUAUGACCCAACACAAUUUUAAUAAAGUUCUUAAUAAUUGAAGUAUCUUUUUUUUGGAAGGAAAGAAAUGAAAUAGAAGUGACUUUUAAAAUAAGAUGUAAAAUUGAACUUUUGGCCAACUUUUCGGAGCUACCAUUCACUGCCCACACAUCGAUUCCCGCAGAAACUAGUUUUUAUUUUAUUUUAUUUUUUCUUGGCACUGUUCCCGCUGAUUUUAUUUUCCUUUUCAAGUAUACCCGCCAAAACACAUAACCUAAUUGUAUAUAUUCUGAUCCAACUUUCUCCUCCAUCCAUUCUCUGCUGUCUGCCGCUGCGGUCGCUGUCUAGUGCAGGUACAACAUUUUAAUAUUUGAUUCUCAUAAUUCUUACGGAUCUGAUUAAUUUUUUUGUCCUUUGUUCAUUUGUUAGUUUACUUUAUGCAUUUUAUGUGGAUAUGUAUGUACGUUUGUGUUUCAGUGCCUAUCAUGAUCAGCUUUUGACCUUUAAAUAAUAAUAGCAAUAUUGUUAAAUCAGAUUGUUAUAUCCAUGUGUUUAACAACCUGCUUUUUAUUUUGUACAUCUGAUCUGAUUGUUAUAUUCUUUUGUUUAUUUAUCAUGAUCAAAUUAGUAUUGUAGUAUUAAUUUCUAUUACUAUUAAUCUUCCAGUAGCAUUAUUAGCUUGCCUUUUGACGUUUAUGCAAUUGGUUAUUAUUAGCUUGCGUUUUGUCCUUUAGUGUUAAUUUGAUUGUUAUGCAUACCUCAAUUUAGAUUUUUUUAUGAAUUAUGUACUUUAGUAUUAAUUUGAUUAUAUGUAGCCAAUUAAAAUAUUAGUUUGGUAAUGUCAUUGUUUACGGAUGUCUUCUAAUAAGAUCAAUGAACAUUCAAGAAAAGUUAAAAAAAGAAAAUGCAUGUUUUAUAAAAUAUGUUAUGGGGCAGCGAUGAUUGCAUAUGACUAUCACAUGAAGUACUUACUGAAGCAAGAUAAUAGAUUUCUUUAUUCUCAUGGAUGGACUUGGGUUCGAGAAACUCUUACCACCCCAGGUGAAAGUUACAAUAUGUUUAAAAUGGAAACUCAUGUUGUAUUAAAACUUGAAAAGUUGUUAGUGAGGAAGGGAUGGUUGCACCCAUCACCAUGUUUAUAAUUUUUUAUUUGCUCUAAAAAAAUCAGGUCUUUACAAGAUUUUAAAUUUUAUAAAAAAAUGCCUUUUAUUUUAUUUAUGAGAAUUUAUAAUAAAAUCUCAAAACUCUUUUAAAAAUAUUUUACCAAACUGAUUUCAACUUAAAAGUACUAAUUAAGUUGGAAAAAACACCAAAUACCAAACAACUUUAACUUUAAAGUUGUAAUUUUCAACUUUAUUCUAAAAGUAACUUUUAGACCUCAAAUAAGUAGGGCCAAACGCACAUAGAGCCCUUAUCAUAAUAGGAUGAGAAGACUUGAAUAUAAAUAAGAGAAUGGAAUAGACAAUUUUUAUUGCAUUUCAUGUUUGAUAAAAAGGUCUCAUCUUUUGUGGCAUAGCAUGACAUUAUGAUUUGACUCUCUUGUGCUUUAGAGAAAAUGCUUUGAUGAAUGUGAUGAAUAUUUUGAAAGAAAGUUUGAAUAUCUUAGUUGAUGUUGUGAAAAUGGGGAUGAUUUCAAAGAGUGUGCAUCAUGCAUGCUGUAACACUCCUAUUUCUAUUAAAACAAUUAAACAUGCGAAUAAUACAUUUAUUCAUGAAAUAGAGGCUACGCCACAUUCAAAAUUCAAAAAAACAAAUAACAUGUAUAUAAACAUCAACAGUUGCAGCAGAAUAUAAACCAGAGUAAUCCAAAUAUAUACAUGUCAUGAAUCAAUAAAUCACAUCACAUAGAUGCAUCUCAAAAAUCCCAAACAAACGAGUAAUCUCCAACAUAACAAAAUCCAAAAAUAACCUAAUCUAGACCGACACAACAAGCCUAGAACAGAGCCGACUCAUCACCGAUAUUGGAGAAGGCUCCAGAUAUCCAUCAAGCACAAGAACUCACCAAGCAACUAAUCCUGCACAACGUCUACCCAUCCAUACAGAUAAGCAGGCGGUCCAGCACAGAUCCACUAGGGGUAAGUAUUACAUUAUCAUAAUCCAAAUAACAGUUAACAUGGAUAUUUCAAUUUAAACAUCAUGCACUUGAUCAAUAAUAAUCAUACAUUCAUACUUACAUCACACCUCAAUAUCUCACAUCAAUAUUCAUCAAUCAUAUGAACAAUUAUCAAUUCGCAAAUAUUCAUUAACAAUCACCAAUCACAUUUAUCAUGAAUAAUCAUUAAUCACAUUUCAUGAACAAUCAUGAAUAAUCAUUAAUCACAUUUCAUGAACAAUCACCAAUUACAUGUAUCAUGAACAAAUAUCAAUUCAAAAAUACUCAUUCACAAUCACCAAUCACAAAUAUCAAAUAAGACUCAUGUUAUGAUAUGCACUUAUUGAGACAUAAAUGCAUGUGGUACCAAAUAUCCAAAAAGGACGUCACCUCUGAUGGAACAACUCAACAUCGUAUGUAAGGGUUCACCCCCGCCUUACAUAAUCUCUGAAGUAAAAGAGCUCAACCCUUUUACAACUACACGACUAUGAUGCAUGGACAUGUAACAAGACUCGAUAAUGCGACAACAAUUACAAUUUUAUCCACAAUAUAUAGGACAACAUCCGAUUAUAUUGUUCAUCUUCACAUCAUUUGCAUUAUCAAGAAAACAUGCCCACACACAAUUAAAUCAUAACAUUCAUCAUCACCACAUCAACAUGAUCAUCAAUAAUCAACAAUGUCAUUCAACAUCAACUAUAUCAUAUAGUUUCACCAUUCCAAACAUUUAUCAUAUUCCAAGUAAGAGAACAUACAACAUCUCAUGACAAAUAUCAUAUCCAACAUAUCACCAUUCAACAUCAACUAUCACAUAUAGUUUCACUAUUCAAGCAUUCCUUACAUUCUAAGUUCUUAGCAUACACAUCUCAUGAUAAACAUCAUAUCUAUUACAAUCAUUCAACAUCAACUAUCACAUAUAGUUUCACCAUUCAAGCAUUCCUUACAUUCUAAGUAAGAUAGCAUACACAUCUCAUGAUAAACAUCAUAUCUAAUACAAUCAUUCAACAUCAACCACCGUUCAAGCAUUCUCAUAUUCCAAGUAAGAUAGCAUACAUAUCUCAUGAUAAACAUCAUAUCCCAUACAAUCAUUCAACAUCAACUAUCACAUAUAGUUAUAUAAACAUAGCCACCACAAUUCUCAAGACAAUUGGUUCAAGAAUAUUCCCGACUAAAACCAUAUCAAGUGGUCACCGACCAACAUUGACAAAACCCCAGGCAAAAUGACAUAGACAAGUUGAAAACGUUCAAACAAUCUUAAUCGAUAAUGUAAUCAUGAAGUUAAGUCGCCUCAGGAUCAUUAACAUUAAUCCAAGCACCACUUAAGUUCAUAUGAAAAUCCCAUUUUCACAACCUUUCACAUUCUCACCCGAAAUAUCACUUUUGAGUUUGUUUGUCAUCUAAGUGUAAUACUUUUUGAGUUUUUCAGCAACAACCCGAUUUUCGCUAGAUUUAUUUUUAAUUGUUUUAAUAUGUGUUUAUAUGUGCUUGUGUGUGAUUAAUUAUCAUUGGGUGCAUUUUAAUGGGUUUAAAGCAAAAAAGGGGUAUUUUGGUCAUUUUGUAAGUAAGGGUAAUUUAGUAAUUUCAUGGUGAGGAUUAUUUUUAAUGUUUCAGGUGAGAACCAUUAGUUUACUAAGUUACCAGUGUAGUAAUUAUUUUUUUUUUGAAGGAAUAGUGUAGUAAUUAGUUGUGAGCUAGUGAGUGAUCAUUAUUAUUAUUUUGCCGUUAAGUGAGUAGAAACAUUUUGUGAAUGGUUUAGUAAAUGGGUUAAGCCCAUUAAGGCUUUAAAGGUUGAGCCCAAUUGAGAGGAGCCUAUAUAAGUUAUAGUUUUUAGAGAAAAAUAGGUUUUCAUUUCAUUUCAUAAGAAUUUGAGAGAGGUAGAGAGAGAAAGUUCAAGAGAAUGAGCAAAAGGGUUAGAAAGGAGAAAGCUUGAAAAACCAAUUAGAGGUGAUAGAGAUUCUAGGAGCUAAAUUGAAGCUUUUCUAGGAUUAUUGCUUAUUGAGGUAAGGGGGUUAGAUUCAAUCACAAUCUCUUAGUUGUAGUUUCUACCCUAAUUCUUUGCAUAAGUGCUUAAUUGAAAUAAGUGAUUAGUUUGAAUUUAAUUGAUAAAAUUCGUGCUUAUGCUUUGAUGUGAUGUUUGGGUAUAUGAAUUUGUUGAUAAUCAAGUUGUUGAUGAUGAAAUUACAUGCUCAAUAUAUGUUUAUAUGUAUACUUUGUUGAUUUUGCUCAAAUUGGCAUAAAUUAAUGUUGUUGUUAUCCAUCGUGAUGAAUUCAUAUUUAAAUGAAGUUGUUGUUGAAUUAGAUAUGUUGUUGUUGUUGAUUUAUACCAUAGGUAUUCCAUUUUGUGAAGUUGUAGUUUCAAUUGGUGAAGUUGAGUUAAGUGGUUCAUGUGAAGGACCAAAAUGAAUUUUGUUACUUGAGGUUGUUGACUGAAUUUUUUAUGUUGUUGGAUGAAUUGAACCUAGAAGAAUUUAUGUUUUAAUGUUGUGGUUGUGUUAGUUGAGUAGUUUGGGAGAAAACGGAUUUUUCGUGUGAAAUGUCGAUGUUUAAGCGUUUUCGCCAAUAAGUGAUUAUCUGAAGUUUUUGAAAAUGAUUCUUGGGAUGGUUGUAACUUGAAAUAUCUGUAGAUUAUGAUAGAGCCAAGUGUCAGGAGCGUGUAGGCGAAAACGGCAUCAAAAUCCGAUUAACGGUUUGAAUUUUACGCGCGAAAUGGUCAAAAACGCACUUUUUGAAAAGCUGAUUCUGGACCUGAUACUGUCAAAAUAGUGCCGCGAUUUUGCAGCCGUGCCUCGAUUUAGAUGGCAAAAUGUUCAGUAGUUCUGGACAAAAAAACGCGCCGCGAUUUCUAAAAUCGUGACAUGAUUUUUGUGAACCAGAUCCUUCAUAUUUCACCCUUUCCACUUUGAACUGGGUUUUGGUAUAAAAAUGAAAGUUUUAAUUAAUUUUGUUAGCUUUCCAAUGGCUUUGGUUUGACUUAAAAAUGAUUUUUGGAUUUUGAGAUAUGAUGGAAUUACCCCAAGCAAGUCUUGGUAAAUUUUUAUGAAAAUUCAGCAUAACCGUUUCUAAGUCAAUCCAAAACUUAUUGAAUAUUUCCAAACCUCGAAACUGGAAGUACUAGGAGUUUAAUUAAGAGGUUUAAGAGUAUUUAACCUAUGUCUUGAUGAAUCUUCUUGGUUUUGUUUUGAAAAUGAAUUGGUUUUGCAAUAUGGAGGAAGUGAUACGAACUUGUCACAACUUUAUGAUUUUGACGAUUUUGUCUUGGUCGGCAGAAGUAGGACCCAACACAAUUUUAAUAAAGUUCUUAAUAAUUGAAGUAUCUUUUUUUUGGAAGGAAAGAAAUGAAAUAAAAGUGACUUUUAAAAUAAGAUGUAAAAUUGAACUUUUGGCCAACUUUUCGGAGCUACCGUUCACUGCCCACACAUCGAUUCCCGCAGAAACCAGUUUUUAUUUUAUUUUAUUUUUUCUUGGCACUGUUCCCGCUGAUUUUAUUUUCCUUUUCAAGUAUACCCGCCAAAACACAUAACCUAAUUGUAUAUAUUCUGAUCUAACUUUCUCCUCCAUCCAUUCUCUGCUGUCUGCCGCUGCGGUCGCUGUCUAGUGCAGGUACAACAUUUUAAUAUUUGAUUCUCAUAAUUCUUACAGAUCUGAUUAAUUUUUUUGUCCUUUGUUCAUUUGUUAGUUUACUUUAUGCAUUUUAUGUGGAUAUGUAUGUACGUUUGUGUUUCAGUGCCUAUCAUGAUCAACUUUUGACCUUUAAAUAAUAAUAGCAAUAUUGUUAAAUCAGAUUGUUAUAUCCAUUUGUUUAAAAGUCUGCUUUUUAUUUUGUACAUCUGAUCUGAUUGUUAUAUUCUUUUGUUUAUUUAUCAUGAUCAAAUUAGUAUUCUUUUGUCUAUUACUAUUAUUCUUUUUAGUAUUGUUAUAUGUUCAUAUUUUCUAAAGAAUAAGUAACAUUUAAGUAAUGUCUUGGAUUAAAAUCCUGGACAUUACAGUACCGCAUGCAUCUAGAAGAGUCUAGAACAUUGCAUGUAUUUGAGUAAUUGAUGAGCCGUGUCAUAAUUGAAUAUGCGACUUGAUGAAUUUGUGCAUUGGUGGAAUUCGGUGAAUGUUGUGAUUAUGUGGAUUGGUGUAUAUGUACAUUGGUGGAUUUUGUUGACUGUUGUGAAUAAUUGACUUGUGCUCUAAUUGCAUGGCUUAUUUGUUUGUGCUUAUACACUUGGUGAAACAAUUUGAUGAUAAUUAUUUGGAUAAAUAGUAGUGAGGUGAGAAUUUUAUAUGUAUGUGUAUAUAUGAUGUGGGGAUUGCUUUGAUUAUGAUGAUUGCUUACUUAUAACUUUGAAAUGAAUAAUAAGGUGGGUAACCCUUCUUUUAUUGUUGAUGAAUGAUGAGCUUAUGUCGAUGAUUUGAUUAGAGAUUGAAGAUGCUUGCUAUGCUAUGUUAGUAAUGUGAUAGCUUGAGAUGUAUGUGAUGGGGGAUAAUAAUCAUGUGAUGCUAGUAUUUUAGGAGGGAUGUUUAUGUAUAUGUGUUAUGUAUGAAAUCCUUGAAUGCUUAUGUUGUUUACGUUGAUUAUGAUUGAUGUGAAGCUUACACCUAGUGGAUCUGUGAUGGACUGCCUACCUGUUUGUAUGAUAGGGUUGACGGCGUGCAUGAUUAGUUUGUUUUCGGUGAGUUGCUUGGAUAGCGGGAGCUAUCUUCGUUAUCUCUUCUUGGAGUCUUAGAUGUAGGCUCUGAUCUAGGAUGUCUGUCUUUAUGAUUAUUCUAGAUUUUUUAUUCUGGACUUAUUUAUGUUGUGGAGACUUUCCCAAUUGUCGGGAUUUGGAGAAUUUAUAUGAUGAUGUAUUUUAAUCUCAUGGCAUGUAUACUUUGUGGAGAAAUUUUAUAUAUGUUUUAUUCGCGUGUUUUAUCGCUUUAAUAGAAAUAGGGCGUUACAGUUUUUCCUCUUCAGAAUCCUUCUAGUUUCGCCGAAGAACGAGGCUUUAAUAGAUACAUCGCUUUAAAUCGUGUUUUAUUCUCUUUUUCUGAUUUUCUUACUGUGGCGAGCGGCUAUUUUUUAUUUUAGCGUUGUUUCUCGCAGGGCAGCGUUAGUUCUGACUUCGUCGACAAAUUCGAGCUCUUCACGUAGAUUUGCAGUAUUGGCGGGGAAGUCGGUAUUGGCGUCAGUUCACGAUGUGAGUUAUGUUAACUCAAUGGGUAUGACCGCCUCCGUCCCGUAUAUGAGUCGAAAAGGUAACUCACCAGUGGUGGAGUCGGGAGUAGUUCUGUAGGCCCAG